rnacentral:lncRNA from 1 species
CCUCACACAAACACACGCACGCUUUCUCUCACACAAAACGCACACGAGCUUUCCUCGUACAAACACACGCACGCUUUCUCUCAUACACAACUUUUCUCUCACAAAAAACAAACGCACGCUUUCUCUCACACAAACACACGCACGCUUUCUCUCACACAAACACACCGCACGCUUUCUAUCAUACAACACAUGCACGCUUCCUCUCACACAAAACGAAGCACCUUUCCUCCACAAACACACGCACGCUUUCUCUCACACAAACACACGCACGCUUUCUCUCAUACAAACACACACACGCUUUCCUCAUACAAACACACAACACGCUCCUCUCAUACAACACACGCACACUUUCUCUCAUACAAACACACACAAGCUUUCUCUCAUACACACACUUUCUCUCACACAACACACGCAACGCUUCUAUCAUACAAACACAUGCACCUUUCUCUCACACACAAACAGAAGCACGCUUUCUCUCUCCACACACAAACACACGCACAGCGUUCUCUCACACAACACACGCACGCUUCUCUCAUACAAACACACCCACGCUUUCUCUCAUACAACACACGCACACUUUCUCUCAUACAAACACACGCACACUUUCUCUCACACACAACACUUUCUCUCACACGCACGCUUUCUCUCACAAAACACACGCACGCUUCUCUCACACAAACACACGCACGCUUUCUCAUCCAUCACAAAACAACACACGCUUUCUCUCACACAAACAAACGCACGCUUUCUCUCAUACAAACAACACCACACGCUUUCUCUCAUACAAACACACGCACGCUUUCUCUCAUACAAACACACGCUUUCUCUCAUACAAGACACUUUCUCUCAUACAAACACAC